rnacentral:rRNA from 1 species
CUACGGGAGGCAGCAGUGGGGAAUAUUGCACAAUGGGCGAAAGCCUGAUGCAGCGACGCCGCGUGAGGGAUGACGGCCUUCGGGUUGUAAACCUCUUUCAGCAGGGAAGAAGCGAAAGUGGCGGUACCUGCAGAAGAAGCACCGGCUAACUACGUGCCAGCAGCCGCGGU